rnacentral:rRNA from 1 species
CAGCAGCCGCGGGAAUACGUAGGGGGCAAGCGUUAUCCGGAUUCAUUGGGCGUAAAGCGCUCGUAGGCGGUCUGUUAGGUCGGGAGUUAAAUCCGGAGGCUCAACCUCCGUUCGCUCCCGAUACCGGCAGACUUGAGUUUGGUAGGGGAAGGUGGAACUCCUAGUGUAGCGGUGGAAUGCGCAGAUAUUAGGAAGAACACCAGUGGCGAAGGCGGCCUUCUGGGCCAUAACUGACGCUGAGGAGCGAAAGCUAGGGGAGCAAACAGGAUUAGAUACCCCAGUAGUCCCUGUCUCUUAUACA